UUUUUGUUUUGACCAAUGAGAACGCGCAAAGCCAAUGCCACUUAUUUGCAUAGAGGAACUAUAAAUACGUGGCACGCAGACGCGCUUCUCACUUCGCUCCCGGGCUAAUCCCAGAUCGGUUCCGUGGUGUGAGCAGAUCAGCCGUGGUCGUGAUGCCUGAGCCGGCCAAAUCCGCUCCCGCGCCCAAGAAGGGCUCCAAGAAGGCGGUGACCAAGACGCAGAAGAAAGGCGACAAGAAGCGCAAGAAGAGCCGCAAGGAGAGCUACUCCAUCUACGUGUACAAGGUGCUGAAGCAGGUGCACCCCGACACGGGCAUCUCGUCCAAGGCCAUGGGCAUCAUGAACUCCUUCGUCAACGACAUCUUCGAGCGCAUCGCCGGCGAGGCGUCGCGCCUGGCGCACUACAACAAGCGCUCCACCAUCACGUCGCGGGAGAUCCAGACGGCCGUGCGGCUGCUGCUGCCCGGCGAGCUGGCCAAGCACGCCGUGUCCGAGGGCACCAAGGCUGUCACCAAGUACACCAGCUCCAAGUAAAUACCUGCUGAACAUACCGCUUAACCCAAAGGCUCUUUUAAGAGCCAGCCACUUUUUCAUUAAAAGAGCUGUACAAUCAAGUAAGAA